rnacentral:tRNA from 1 species
GAUUCUUUUUAUAUAGUUUAAACAAAACAUUACAUUUUCACUGUAAAAUUAAAUAAUUAUUAUUUUUUAA